AGGUGAACCUGCGGUAGGAUCAUU
rnacentral:ncRNA from 2 species